rnacentral:rRNA from 1 species
AUUGAACGCUGGCGGCAUGCCUUACACAUGCAAGUCGAACGGUAACAGGUCUUCGGAUGCUGACGAGUGGCGAACGGGUGAGUAAUACAUCGGAACGUGCCUAGUAGUGGGGGAUAACUACUCGAAAGAGUGGCUAAUACCGCAUGAGAUCUACGGAUGAAAGCAGGGGAUCGCAAGACCUUGUGCUACUAAAGCGGCAGAGGGCAGAUUAGGACGGUGGUGGGAUAAAAGCUUACCAAGCCGACGAUCUGUAGCUGGUCUGAGAGGACGAUCAGCCACACUGGGACUGAGAAACGGCCCAGACUCCUACGGGAGGCAGCAGUGGGGAAUUUUGGACAAUGGGCGCAAGCCUGAUCCAGCAAUGCCGCGUGCAGGAUGAAGGCCUUCGGGUUGUAAACUGCUUUUGUACGGAACGAAAAGCCCUGGGUUAAUACCCUGGGGUCAUGACGGUACCGUAAGAAUAAGCACCGGCUAACUACGUGCCAGCCGCCGCCGUAAUAC